rnacentral:rRNA from 1 species
AUGAACGCUGGCGGCGUGCUUAACACAUGCAAGUCGAACGGAGUUUACUUAACAGAUUCCUUCGGGAUGACGUUUUUUAAACUUAGUGGCGGACGGGUGAGUAACGCGUGGGUAACCUGCCUUACACAGGGGGAUAGCAGUUGGAAACGACUGGUAAUACCGCAUACCUUACAUUAUUCGCAUGUUUGAUGUAAGAAAGAUUUAUCGGUGUAAGAUGGACCCGCGUCUGAUUAGCUAGUUGGUGUGGUAACGGCAUACCAAGGCGACGAUCAGUAGCCGGCCUGAGAGGGUGAACGGCCACAUUGGGACUGAGAUACGGCCCAGACUCCUACGGGAGGCAGCAGUGGGGAAUAUUGCACAAUGGAGGCAACUCUGAUGCAGCGACGCCGCGUGAGUGAAGAAGUAUUUCGGUAUGUAAAGCUCUAUCAGUAGGGAAGAUAAUGACGGUACCUACAGAAGAAGCCCCGGCUAAAUACGUGCCAGCAGCCGCGGUAAUACGUAUGGGGCAAGCGUUAUCCGGAUUUACUGGGUGUAAAGGGAGUGUAGGCGGCAGUACAAGUCAGGAGUGAAAACUUGGGGCUCAACCCCAAGACUGCUUUUGAAACUGUACAGCUAGAGUGUAGGAAGGGCAAGCGGAAUUCCUGGUGUAGCGGUGAAAUGCGUAGAUAUCAGGAAGAACACCGGUGGCGAAGGCGGCUUGCUGGACUAUAACUGACGCUGAGACUCGAAAGCGUGGGGAGCGAACAGGAUUAGAUACCCUGGUAGUCCACGCUGUAAACGAUGAAUACUAGGUGUUGGGUCUCGAUAGAGAUUCGGUGCCGAAGCAAACGCAUUAAGUAUUCCACCUGGGGAGUACGUUCGCAAGAAUGAAACUCAAAGGAAUUGACGGGGACCCGCACAAGCGGUGGAGCAUGUGGUUUAAUUCGAAGCAACGCGAAGAACCUUACCAGGUCUUGACAUCGAUCUAAAGGCUCCAGAGAUGGAGAGAUAGCUAUAGAGAAGACAGGUGGUGCAUGGUUGUCGUCAGCUCGUGUCGUGAGAUGUUGGGUUAAGUCCCGCAACGAGCGCAACCCUCAUCUAUAGUAGCCAGCAUUUUGGAUGGGCACUCUAUAGAGACCGCCGGGGAUAACCCGGAGGAGGAUGGGGAUGACGUCAAAUCAUCAUGCCCCUUAUGGCCUGGGCUACACACGUGCUACAAUGGCACUAAACAAAGUGAAGCGAGACAGUGAUGUUAAGCAAAGCACAAAAACAGUGUCCCAGUUCGGAUUGUAGUCUGCAACUCGACUACAUGAAGCCGGAAUCGCUAGUAAUCGCAGAUCAGCAUGCUGCGGUGAAUACGUUCCCGGGUCUUGUACACACCGCCCGUCACACCAUGGGAGUCGGAAACGCCCGAAGCCGGUGGCCUAACCGUAAGGAAGGAGCCGUCGAAGGCGGGUUCGGUGACUGGGGUG